rnacentral:lncRNA from 1 species
CCAGAACGUACCUCCAGAUCCCCGUCCGACAGCGACCUCUCUCCAGAACACAUCUCCAGAUCCCCGUCCGCCAGUGACCUCUCUCCAGAACGUACCUCCAGACCCCAUCCGCCAGUGACCCAUCUCCAGAAUGUACCUCCAGAUCCUCAUCCGCCAGUGACCCCUCUCCAGAACAUACCUCCAGAUCCUCAUCCACCAGUGACCUCUCUCCAGAACGUACCUCCAGAUCCCCAUCCGCCAGUGACCCCUUUUCAGAAUGUACCUCCAGAUCCUCAUCCGCCAGUGACCCCUCUCCAGAACAUACCUCUAGAUCCCCAUCCGCCAGUGACCUCUCUCCAGAACGUACCUCCAGAUCCCCAUCCGCCAGUGACCCAUCUCCAGAACAUACCUCCAGAUCCUCAUCCACCAGUGACCUCUCUCCAGAACGUACCUCCAGAUCCCCUUCCGACAGCGACCUCUCUCCAGAACACAUCUCCAGAUCCCCGUCUGCCAGUGACCUCUCUCCAGAACAUACCUCCAGAUCCUCAUCCACCAGUGACCUCUCUCCAGAACGUACCUCCAGAUCCCCAUCCGCCAGUGACCCCUCUCCAGAACAUACCUCCAGAUCCUCAUCCACCAGUGACCUCUCUCCAGAACGUACCUCCAGAUCCCCAUCCGCCAGUGACCCCUCUCCAGAACACACCUCCAGAUCCCCAUCCACCAGUGACCUCUCUCCAGAACACAUCUCCAGAUCCCCGUCUGCCAGUGACCUCUCUCCAGAACGUACCUCCAGAUCCUCAUCCACCAGUGACCUCUCUCCAGAACGUACCUCCAGAUCCCCGUCCGCCAGUGACCUCUCUCCAGAACACAUCUCCAGAUCCCCGUCCGUCAGUGACCCCUCUCCAGAACACACCUCCAGAUCCCCAUCGGCCAGUGACCCCUCUCCAGAAUAUACCUCCAGAUCCACCAAACACCAGUGACCCCUCUCCUGAACACACCUCCAGAUUCACCAUCCGUCAAUGACCCCUCACCAGAACAUACCUCCAGAUCCCCAUCCGCCAGAGAUUCCUCUCCAGAAUACACC